AUGAACGCUAGCGACAGGCCUAACACAUGCAAGUCGAGGGGCAGCACAAGGAGCAAUCUGAGGUGGCGACCGGCGCACGGGUGAGUAACACGUAUGCAACCUGCCUGUAAGCGGGGAAUAACCCGUUGAAAAGACGGACUAAUACCGCAUAAUACUAAAUUACUGCAAUGGUAAUUUAUUUAAACAUUUAUGGCUUACAGAUGGGCAUGCGCAUGAUUAGCUAGUUGGAGAGGUAACGGCUCCCCAAGGCAACGAUCAUUAGGGGUUCUGAGAGGAAGGUCCCCCCACACUGGUACUGAGACACGGGCCAGACUCCUACGGGAGGCAGCAGUGAGGAAUAUUGGUCAAUGGACGAGAGUCUGAACCAGCCAAGUCGCGUGCAGGAAGAAUGUCCUAUGGAUUGUAAACUGCUUUUGCAGGGGAAUAAAGUGCAUCACGUGUGAUGUUUUGUAUGUACUCUGCGAAUAAGGAUCGGCUAACUCCGUGCCAGCCGCCGC
rnacentral:rRNA from 1 species